UACGGAGGGUGCGAGCGUUGUCCGGAAUCACUGGGCGUAAAGGGCGCGUAGGCGGCCUGGUAAGUAGGGGGUGAAAUCCUGCGGCUUAACCGCAGGGCUGCCUUCUAAACUGUCUGGCUCGAGCACGGUAGAGGCAGAUGGAAUUCCCGGUGUAGCGGUGGAAUGCGUAGAGAUCGGGAAGAACAUCAGUGGCGAAGGCGGUCUGCUGGGCCGUUGCUGACGCUGAGGCGCGACAGCGUGGGGAGCAAACAGG
rnacentral:rRNA from 1 species